AUUGAACGCUGGCGGCAUGCCUAACACAUGCAAGUCGAACGGAGCGGCGGACGGGUGAGUAAUGCCUAGGAAUCUGCCUGGUAGUGGGGGAUAACGUCCGGAAACGGGCGCUAAUACCGCAUACUCUCAGAUCAGCCUAGUGCUGAUUAGCUAGUUGGUGGGGUAAAGGCUUACCAAGGCGACGAUCCGUAACUGGUCUGAGAGGAGGAACAGCUACACGGGAACUGAGACACGGUCCAGACUCCUACGGGAGGCAGCAGUGGGGAAUAUUGGACAAUGGGCGAAAUCCUGAUCCAGCCAUGCCGCGUGUGUGAAGAAGGUCUUCGGAUUGUAAAGCACUUUUAGUUGGGAGGCGUUACCAACAGAAUAAGCACCGGCUAACUUCGUGCCAGCCGCCGCGGUAAUAC
rnacentral:rRNA from 1 species